rnacentral:lncRNA from 1 species
GUAGAUAAAUAUUUAAAAUGGAAGCAAAAGAAAAAAAAGAAAAAUAAAAGAUAGAUAAAUAAAUAAUGAAAAUAAAAUAAAAAGUAAAAGAUAAAAUAGAUAAAAAUAAACUAAUAAGUAAAAAGAAAGGGUGUGGUGGUGCUAAAAUAAGAGAAGGGGUAUUCAAUCCCAAUUUAGUUCUAAAAACAGAUUGAGCCUAAGCCCAAGUAGAAAAAAGGUGGUAAAAAUGAAAAAUAGGGGUGUACAAACUAAAUUAUCUCUAAAGGCAGAUUGGGCCUAAGCCCAAUUGAAAAGGGUGUGACUUAGCGAACAUGGGGUGCAGAAGGGAUUCCCUUUUUUUAAUCAACAGAUGGGCUCAAGCCCAUUGCACAUGCGGUGCCAGAUAGUAGAAACUGGGGUGGCGAGAGAAGGUUUUUUGUUUGGUUUUAUUAUUAUUAUUUUGUUGGUUGGGCUUGACACCCAGGCCCAUGCUCUCUUGACCUAGAAUCGUAAGAGGGGUCAAGCCUCACUACCUCACUCUGCACUCUCAGACUCAAACACCAGAGACUCAAGGUUUCGCGUCUCUCUCUCGAAGACAACCGAACCCUCAAGCUUUCUCUCUCUCACAAGGGCGCGCCACCACCCUCAGCCAGAACCGGCCACCAGGCCAAUACUUGCACCAGUCUCGACCUCGCUGGUGGCAAUAGGUGUCACCGGAACCAUGGUUGGCCACCGCGUCCUCUUUGCGUCUCUCUCUCAAUCGCAACCGCCCAGGAUUGGGUUCCUUCGCCACCACACGACUCGACCGGCCGCCGUUCCCAUCCGGUCAGCCAUGGCAACGCCGACAUCCUCGCCACCAUCCGGCCAGCCAACGCAGGCCGUGACGACCUCACUCUCUCUCCUUCUGCUCGCGUCGGCCUAGGGUGUGGGGUUUGUCUCCAACCGGCCACCGCCUUAUCCAGUCUCGCCGCCGCUGGCGACGGCAGAUGCCACCAGGAUCCAGGCCAGCGUCACUGCACCGCCACCUUCCUUCUCCUCUUUCUAUUCUCGUGCUCUUGGGGUCAUCUCCUUUUCAUUUCACCGGUCACCACAACUCCAAUUGGUCAGGGCUGCCUUAAAGGUCCAACUUUGAACGAAUUGGCAUGGAAUUUGUGAUUUGAUUUCUGUUUAUUGGUUUGAUGCAGGUGAAAGAUGAUGUUGGGUUUGUUCUAUGGUACUCUGUGUAAGUUUCUGUUUAACUGGGUGCAAUUCCUUCGUUGGUUAUUGGAGAUGAACAGAGGCGUGGAGGUUUAAGCUUCAUUAUCUGGUUUGGCUCCUGGGAUUUUUGGUGUUUGAUGGGUAGACAUAGGCUGUCGCGUUGACAAAGAAUGGUGGAACAAGAAAAGCUGAAGUAAACUUGGAUUUCGGUUUGUUGGGAAGAUGAUGUAUCUGCAGAUGACGGGUUACUGGAAUUUGGGUUGCGCAGGUUUGGGUUAUGCAAAGAGAGUACUGGUCUCUAAUGGUUGGAGGUGGUGAAGCAUGUUCAGUUUGUUGGGAUGAAUGGAAAACAAAAAAACAAACCAUGUACAGAAACAAAUCAUGCAUACUCAAUAUAAUAGCAAGUUCGAUAUGAGCAGUCAAAGCCAGGCAUUACCAAAUCAGAACAGAAGGAGAAACCCCAUUAGGAGUAAAUUGUAAUCGUCUAACAUUCAUAACUUUGUGAGUGAUGAAGUUAAAGAGAACUUACCUUCUACGUUUACACUCUCUUCUCUCAAGUCCUUGUGAUCCUUUUUCUUAUGAUUCAACUCCACUUCUUUUCUUCAGUAGCCUUGGUGUUAGUCUAGAGAAAAAACAUUUUUCUUUGCUUCGUAAGUGUGAGGAGUGGUCAUGAAAAAAAUGGAUACUGUUUUUUUUUAUGAUUCCCAACUGGUGAGAAUGGGUGAUCAAAGUAACUGAGAGCAGGGGCAAUGGUUAGUACCGAGUACUGGUCGUGGCUGCCCAAGUGGACGGUUUCAUCAUGGAGGUUAUUAGAGGAGCCGAAGGGUGGAGAACGUGUCCUUCCUUGCCUGCCAAGACCAAACCGCCUCUGCCAAAUGUACCUCUGCCAAUUUGCAAAACGUUCUCUGCCAAAAUCCAUCCCUACACCUGUCAUGUCCCCCUUUUGUCGUUUACAAAUGUGGCUUCACUCAUUUUUUCUUUUUUUUAAUUAAAUAUAUUUAAACAAGAUAAAAUAUAAAAAGGUAAAACUUAAAAAAUGAAAAUAAAAAAUUAAAAAUUAAAAAAUAUAAAGGGAAAAGCAAAAUGAAAUAAAAAGAGAAUAGGAUGAGAUAAAUAGAAUAAAAACUAAAUCAAAUACUAAAUAGUAAAACAAAAAUUAAACAAAAUAAAACAAAAAUAAAAUAAAAUAAAAAUAAAAUAAAAUAAGACAAAAAUAAAAACUAGUCCUAUUAUUCAGUCAUCCGGACGAAAUUGGGUGUUGACACAGUAUCUCAUGACCAAAGAAGGAAAUUACAAACCAAGUAUACCCUUUAUUCCUAGUCACUAGUACAUAUCAAAUUCGAAAAAGUUACAUCAUAAUUAAUAUAACAACUUUUCUACGGUUCAUUACAUGAUUAAUCAAUUGGAUAAAACCCCCAACCCUUUCUAGAAUCAUUAUUGUUUCAGAUUGAGACCCGAAACCAAACACAAACCAAGUUGUUUCGCUGAAUUGCCUUCGUUAACCUUACUCUCACGUUCGAUCGGGUGCAACCUGCACGUUAGCACUUCGACGCUCAAGUUAGCAAAGUCGCACUAAUCUCAAGAUAAGAGUAAUUAUGUCAAAAGUGAAAAAGUACCUGAUACACGCCUUUAUAUUUAUAGGCAUCUGA